rnacentral:rRNA from 1 species
AUUGAACGCUGGCGGCAGGCCUAACACAUGCAAGUCGAGCGGAGCGGCGGACGGGUGAGUAAUGCCUAGGCAUCUGCCUGGUAGUGGGGGAUAACGUCCGGCAACGGGCGCUAAUACCGCAUACUAUCAGACGAGCCUAGGUCGGUUUGGCUAGUUGGUGGGGUAAAGGCCUACCAAGGCGCCGAUCCGUAACUGGUCUGAGAGGAUGAUCAGUCACACUGGAACGUAGAAACGGUCCAGAAUCCUACGGAAGGCAGCAGUGGGAAAUAUUGGACAAUGGGCGAAAGCCGGAUCCAGCAAUGCCGCGUGUGUGUGAAGGGUCUUCGGAUUGUAAAGCACUUUAAGUUGGUAGGCGUUACCGAAAGAAUAAGCACCGGCUAACUUCGUGCCAGCAGCCGCGGUAAUUC